CAAAAUGAUAACAAUGUUGGAAGAACGUGGUGUGUUAAUAUUUUUAAAAAGAUAAAUGUCAUGGCUUUACAAAGCGUUAACAAUAAAAGACUGUUACUUAUAGAUGGAAAUAAGAAAGACGAUACAACUACAAAUAAGAAAAAGAAGAAACUUGUUUUAGAUGAAGAUACAUACACUGAGAAUAUCGAUGAGAUCAUAACGAGGGAUUUCUUCCCUGAUCUCCCAUCACUCUACACACAGGCCGAGUACUUUGAGGCACUGGAGAAGAACGACCAUGCCAAACUUCGACAAAUUCAGAUGCAGUAUCGCCAGUCUACGCAAAGACCAGGCACUGAUGCAUCCAGUGUUUACAAUUCUCCAGCAACAUUUGAAACUCCUGAUCACAGUGCACGGAAAAGCUCUCCAGAUGCCAGGUCAAAUUGGACGGAGGACACUGGUCCCUCAGAAGAGACCCAGAGUGAAGAUAAACAGACAGACAAUAAAUCGCGUGGUUUGAGUCUGGACCAAUACUUGUCGAAGAAUACCAGUGAAGAUAAUGCAUCGUUUGCUGAAAUUCUCAAGGAAGGAGAAAAGAGACAUCGAGACAAACAUGCCUGGAUGUAUGACAAGGAAGGUGAACAGUCCAAGGAACAUGAAGAAAAACUUGCUCUUCCAAGCAUUGAGGACCAGGCUGCCAUAGAACAGAACAAGGCAACAGUAGACACCUGGACAUACAAACCAAACAACGCCCUCAUGUAUGUACCUGAUGGAGUUGAACUGAGUGCGAAGCAGCUGAUAGAAUUAAAGAAAUACAAGCCGCGUGAGAUCAUCCACGCGAACACCCGCUUCCACUACAACCCGCACAACGUAGAGAGGAACAAGCAGCUAAUGGAGCAGGCCGCGUCAUUCAAGGCGAUGGCUGACCUCGGUAAGAUCGGCCACGACGGGAAGGAAGUCGUGUCCAUGCCGUCGCCCAGCGUCAACGGUUACGGCUUCGUGGGGACCCCAUCACCAGCCCCUGGCGUGGACGAGUCACCCCUGAUGACCUGGGGUCAGAUAGAGGGGACGCCAUUCAGGCUGGACGGCAACCAGACGCCAAUCUCAACAACACCAGGACCGGUGUUUAAGAUCCCGAAUAUUCCCCAGAGAGACAAGUUGGCUCUUGAGCUGGCCGAGAAGGCGAGUAAAGGUCACCGUGCCAAGAAACAGGACGCCAUUAAACAGGUGACGAGGAAUUUAGCCAGUCCCAAGCUUGGCAGAACUACGACAGAGCGACUAAAUUCCAUGUCCCCAGCUGCACAGCGUCUGGCCAGUCGACACCUCGGGGUGAAAACACACACCGACAAGGCUCUGCGAGACAGCUACACACCAUCACCCGUCCAUCGGUUGCCUGGUGACAAGACACCAAUCUUGAGACAGACUCCAGGGAGAACUCCGAACUCGUUGCCCGGUACCCCAGGGAGCACGAGUAGCACUCCAAAACAAGACAGUGAGGUGUCGCUCACAGACAAUUUGUUACAGCUACCUCAGAGGAAACGGAGAAGAGCUGCAGAUUUCUUUGAUGGUUGAGUGAUAUCUUCUGUGUAAAAACAACAUAUACAAAGAAGUUUACUUGUUUGUGACCAAAAAAAACAAAAAAACGUCAUAAACCCAGUGGUUAUUAAUUAAUUUUAUGAAGUCCGGAUUAUAUCAGAUAAAUUACAAGCUACUUGUAAUAAAACUAACUGAACUGUAGAACAUUAGGUAAAAACAACCAGUAAACCAGGUUAGAUUGAAAUGGCCGUUUUAUUAAAAACGACAUAAAAUUAUAACAUCACAUCACAUUAUGUAAUAGUAAACACCUGACAAAAGUAGGUGUUCAGGAAAGUGAAAUGACAUAGUAACAUUACAUAAUAAAUGCGAAAAGCACUGUUGUAGGUGGGGGAAAUCCGCCACCUUGCUAGAUAAGCUACUGCCAGCCGGCAAUAGCUGAAACUAGCAACCCCCACCCACAGCAGUUUGACUGACUUAAAAGGCCAUAUCAGCCUAACCUGAAUCGAAACACCCAUCAGAAUAAAAAUACGAUACAAUGAUCCACGACAGCACUGGGUUUAUUAAAGCUAUUAAUAAUAGUAAGUACAUACAAUCUAGGGUUGAUUCACAAGAACCUUUAAAUACACACGUUCCCUUUUACAAUAAUCUACGAGAAUGCCAUGCAUCCGACGCAGUUUUUUGUAUUGAGAUGUGAGAAUGCAUGUUUUAUCAACACAUUUUUAUUUUUAUGUAAGAAGCUACGAGAAUGCCAUGCAUUCGAUGCAGUAAGUUAGUUUUAGCUAUUAAAGUAAGAAAAUCCCAUGGAUUCACCUCAGUAAAAGUAGGAUUUCCAUGCAGUAAGCCACAAGAAUGCCAUUCAUCCGAUGCCACUGCCUGUAUGAUAGUAGUGUAAACUAAUUCACCAUAAUUCGAAAGAUGGGAUUCUAAUGUAUCGCUGAAACGCGUUAGAAUUCCACCUGCCCAUAGCUUGUAUCUCUGCCUCUGAUACCCCUCGACUAGCAGCGGUGCUAGCAGCACCUAUUCUAAAACUGUGACUUUUGUAAUGUUCGGACCUAUAUCCUGCUGCAAGCAAUGCAUUUUUCAAUAUAUUGCAAAAAUAUCUGUAAGAAACCGUAGAUCCUCCCGGGAAUACAAAAAUACAACCCGGAGAAGAACCUCGAAGAUGUAGAUACCUGUAUAAAGUAUGUAUGUAUCGCUUGAGCAUUAAGAGAUAGGGCAAUUGGGGCAGUGUGAUAAUGACCCUUGAAAGAGUGAAAACUUAUCUCCACUCUGGAAGGAUUUUGCAAACCCUUUUUGAAGAAUUGCACAUUCUUUGUCUGUAGAAUAUUCCUACUGUUUCCACUGUAGGUGAUUUCCCCAAUGCGCAAAAAUGCAUAAAAAGCAAGUAAAAACAUUGAUCGGAACAUAAGUUUGUUGUAUCUUGUUGGACAAACUUCAUCCAGAGCAUUUAUAAUUUGAUACAAUAUAUGUUUUGUCAGUGGGCGCCUGAAAUCUUGUCUUUUAUUUAUUUUCUUUAAUCCUGCUAGCAUUUUCCGAAUAAUGAAAAACUGGGAUCUUUAAAGGCCCCCAACUUAUGUAUAUAUCCUAUAGCUGACAUAUAAGUUGUGAUGGUUGAACUAGCAAAGCCUAUGUCCACCAUGUGGGCAAUGAAUAAUGCCACUGUAUGUACACUAAUUGGCAGGGAGCACUGCAUAUGCAAUGUUGUGUGUAUGAAUUGUUGUAGCAAAUGAAUGCUCUAGGAUAUAACUGUUUAGACUUAUCAGUUAGUGCUGCAUCAAUGAGUCGAAGGACUCGUUUAAAUGCGCAAUAACUGCUGUGGAACUGUGGCUGGAAUUCUGUCCAUCUGUGGGGCUGCUUGGUGAAAGUAUGCCACCUGUAAACGAGACAGGUAAUCAGCCAGUACAUUUAGUUUUCCUGGUAUAUGUUUGGCUCUAAAAUGAAUAUUGAAUCUCAAGGCUGCUAAUACCAAUCUCCUGACAAGACCCAUCAUUACGGUAUUGGGCGAUGUUUGUUUAUUUAUUAUCGCUACCACUGUAUUAUUAUCAGAAAAGAACAAAACUGAUUUAUUACCCAGUUGCUGUCCCCAGUGCUCCAAAGCUAGAACAAUUGGAAAUAAUUCCUUGAUGUUAAUAUGGUGUUGCAACAUAUGUUCAUCCCACUGACCAUAUAACCAAUGUUUUCCCAUUAUGGCGCCAUACCCCACAUUACUAGCGUCUGUAUACAUUUGUAGUUGUUCUGACGACUCCCAACUAUUUGGCAAAAAAUUUAAAAUAACAAUUGCAUCUUACCUGUACGAAAUUAUUUGAAACUGACGCUGUUGUAUAACAAUAUUUCAUUUUAAAUUAACCCAAGCGUAAGAGCAAAGGAGAUAGAAGGAAGUUCUGUCACGUGACUGCAAUAGGAAACAGAGGACUUAUUGGAAGAUUUGUAGCCAUUUCUUGGCUGUUGGGAUGUUUGGACCAGUCUAUUGAAAUUGGGGGAAGUGCCAUUGGUGACUGGUCAGGUUAUGUAUUUAUGAAAAGAGAGAAAUAUCCACGUUUUCUACAAUUUACGGAAAGUGAUAACAUACUGUUUAUUUCUGACUGGUGAGAUACUGACGUACAUGGUAUAUGUUUGUGUGUGUUGGCUAUCUUGAUACAUUGUAGUGCCACAUUUACAGUCAGCAGAAUGCAAUCUUCGCCAUGAGCUGAAUCAAAGCAAGCUCAAGGUCACCUGGCAACCCCUGAAAUUGUCCACGGCAAAAAUGCAUGCCUUGAAAAAAAUAUAUAUAUAGUCCAGCAAAAAAGUGCCGUGGAGAAUUUUAAAACUCCACAGCAUUGCCGAUUGCUGUGGGUAAUUGUAGGGGUUGAAUGGUGCUAGGCGAGAAACCAAAUGAAGUUUCAAUAAAAAUGUAUUAAACGGUUUAUUGCAAGACGAUCAGUUUGCUAAUCUCCUGAAACUGUCCAUGGGAGUGUGGAGGGGAGCAAGCAAAGACUGGAAUGUGCUGUUGAUAAAACAAUAUGCAUCAUUUCCACCAUAACAUUCACAGUUUAAAUGAGAACCAUUUACACAGGUAUUGUUUUCAUUUUUGGAUCUUGAUGAAUGGAGUGAAUGUUCGGAAAAGAACAUAUCUGUUUUUGAGGUUGUUGUCCCAGAAGGUAAAUUUUUUUAUUAAUAUAACAGAAACAUUUUAAACGUGAAAGUGGUUGUGUUUAGCUGACAUCACCCUGCAUUUUUAAAAGGCAUGGACAGCUAAAUCAUGACACUAUUCUGAUAGUACAUUUCCUGCGUCAAUCCUUCUUUCCAUGUAAUUAAUAUUUGUGCGAGAAAAUCUAGGGUAUGGAUAAGACACUGUAGGGCUGAAACACAAUAAUGUAAUGCUAAAUGUUGGAUGUGGGUUAUGAAAUGUGUUGUUUGUAUUAAAGAUCACCUGAUUUUG
rnacentral:misc_RNA from 1 species